CCAAUGUAGACACUUACCAGCGCUUUUCUUGACCUCCGUGGAAGGAGGAAGCCUCUGGUAAUCAAGCUGGUCUCCUUCCCUGCGGUUUGCUGGGUGGCUCCGGGAACGCGAGAGCAAACCGCGGCGAAGCGGGUCUCCUUUCCCGGUUUGCUCUCUCGUUCCCGGAGCCCCGAGCAAGCAGGUCUCCUUCCCUGCGGUUUGCUGGGUGGCUCCGGGAACGAGAGAGCAAACCGCGGCGAAGCGGGUCUCCUUUCCCGGUUUGCUCUCUCGUUCCCGGAGCCCCGAGCAAGCAGGUCUCCUUCCCUGCGGUUUGCUGGGUGGCUCCGGGAACGCGAGAGCAAACCGCGGCGAAGCUGGUCUCCUUCCCCGGUUUGCUCUCGCGUUCCCGG